rnacentral:rRNA from 2 species
UGCAAGUCGAGCGGACAGAUGGGAGCUUGCUCCCUGAUGUCAGCGGCGGACGGGUGAGUAACACGUGGGUAACCUGCCUGUAAGACUGGGAUAACUCCGGGAAACCGGGGCUAAUACCGGAUGCUUGAUUGAACCGCAGGUUCAAUUAUAAAAGGUGGCUUUUAGCUACCACUUACAGAUGGACCCGCGGCGCAUUAGCUAGUUGGUGAGGUAACGGCUCACCAAGGCAACGAUGCGUAGCCAACCUGAGAGGGUGAUCGGCCACACUGGGACUGAGACACGGCCCAGACUCCUACGGGAGGCAGCAGUAGGGAAUCUUCCGCAAUGGACGAAAGUCUGACGGAGCAACGCCGCGGGAGUGAUGAAGGUUUUCGGAUCGUAAAACUCUGUUGUUAGGGAAGAACAAGUACCGUUCGAAUAGGGCGGUACCUUGACGGUACCUAACCAGAAAGCCACGGCUAACUACGUGCCAGCAGCCGCGGUAAUACGUAGGUGGCAAGCGUUGUCCGGAAUUAUUGGGCGUAAAGCGCGCGCAGGCGGUUUCUUAAGUCUGAUGUGAAAGCCCCCGGCUCAACCGGGGAGGGUCAUUGGAAACUGGGGAACUUGAGUGCAGAAGAGGAGAGUGGAAUUCCACGUGUAGCGGUGAAAUGCGUAGAGAUGUGGAGGAACACCAGUGGCGAAGGCGACUCUCUGGUCUGUAACUGACGCUGAGGCGCGAAAGCGUGGGGAGCGAACAGGAUUAGAUACCCUGGUAGUCCACGCCGUAAAC